rnacentral:misc_RNA from 1 species
GAUGAAGAACGCAGCGAAAUGCGAUAAGUAAUGUGAAUUGCAGAAUUCAGUGAAUCAUCGAAUCUUUGAACGCACCUUGCGCCCUUUGGACAUUCCGAAGGGCAUGCCUGUUUGAGUAUCAUGAACACCUCAACUCUCACGGCUUGUCCGUGAUGAGCUUGGACUUUGGGGGUCUUGCCGGCCUGUGGUCGGCUCCUCUCAAAUGGAUCAGCUUGCCAGUGUUUGGUGGCAUCACAGGUGUGAUAACUAUCUGCGCUUGUGGUUUUCCAUCAGAUAACCUUCAGAGAUAUGGAGGUUCGCUGGAGCUCACAAAUGUCUCUCCUUAGUGAGGACAGCUCUUUGAACGUUUGAUCUCAAAUCAGGUAGGACUACCCGCUGAACUUAAGCAUAUCAAUAAGCGGAGGA